AACGAACGCUGGCGGCAUGCCUAACACAUGCAAGUCGCACGAGAUCUUCGGGUCUAGUGGCGCACGGGUGCGUAACGCGUGGGAAUCUGCCCUUUGGUUCGGAAUAACAGUUGGAAACGACUGCUAAUCCCGGAUGAUGACGAAAGUCCAAAGAUUUAUCGCCAGAGGAUGAGCCCGCGUAGGAUUAGCUAGUUGGUGUGGUAAAGGCGCACCAAGGCGACGAUCCUUAGCUGGUCUGAGAGGAUGAUCAGCCACACUGGGACUGAGACACGGCCCAGACUCCUACGGGAGGCAGCAGUGGGGAAUAUUGGACAAUGGGCGAAAGCCUGAUCCAGCAAUGCCGCGUGAGUGAUGAAGGCCUUAGGGUUGUAAAGCUCUUUUACCCGGGAUGAUAAUGACAGUACCGUGAGAAUAAGCUCCGGCUAACUCCGUGCCAGCAGCCGCCGUA
rnacentral:rRNA from 1 species